rnacentral:rRNA from 1 species
AUUGAACGCUGGCGGCAUGCCUUACACAUGCAAGUCGAACGGAUUCAAGGGGCUUGCUCCUUGAGUUAGCGGCGAACGGGUGAGUAAUGCAUCGGAACGUACCCAGUUGUGGGGGAUAACGUAGCGAAAGUUACGCUAAUACCGCAUACGACCUGAGGGUGAAAGCGGGGGAUCGCAAGACCUCGCGCAAUUGGAGCGGCCGAUGUCAGAUUAGCUAGUUGGUAGGGUAAAAGCCUACCAAGGCGACGAUCUGUAGCUGGUCUGAGAGGACGGCCAGCCACACAGGGACAGAGACACGGCCCAGACUCCUACGGGAGGCAGCAGUGGGGAAUUUUGGACAAUGGGGGAAACCCUGAUCCAGCCAUGCCGCGUGAGUGAAGAAGGCCUUCGGGUUGUAAAGCUCUUUCGGACAGAAAGAAAUCUUUUGGGCUAAUACCCUGAGAGGAUGACGGUACUGUAAGAAGAAGCACCGGCUAACUACGUGCCAGCCGCCGCCGUAA